GAAGGAAAGCGAAAGAAUUUGAAUUAAAUAAUUAUAUGAUUUUCAUUUUUCUAUAUCAAAAUCCUAAAUAUUGGGCAAAUAAUUAAAUGACUAUCCCUAAAUAUUAGGGAACUAAUUAGAAUGACUAUUCCUACAUAUUAGGAAAAUGACUAAAAUUACUACUUUAUUCAACAGAAAAAAUAUUUAUAAAGGGUAAAAAGGCGAACGAUAUAUAGCAUGCGUGUCGCGCCCCUUUUUUCCCUCUUUGCAUUGGGAGAUCGGGUUUAUGACAUUUUGGGUAUAGGACAACUCAUUCCUUUUGGAAACUAGGUUUGCAUUUGAAGAGUCGUCACCUAAUGAUUUAAGGUGCAUUAGGACACCUAUAAAGUUCAUUUCUAUGUUUGUUUGAUAACUAGAGAUAGGGUAAGAGCUUGAAAUUAUCCCAAGGGGAAGGUAUUAGGCACCCCUCAGAAUCCACUAGUGUGGUUCCCGGCCAGACAAUUUUGUGAAUUUGUACAAUUAGCAAAUAGACAAGUAUAGGCUCAAGUAGUAGGGAAAUUGGGUUUGAACACAUAAGAGUUUGAAAACAAUUAAAAGGCGAAUUUUGAAAAUGAGAUAUAGUUCUACAAAUACUUGAGAAUAUAGAAGGAAGGGGACUCCUAGGUUUAUUUAUAAUAUGCAUCACAUCAAUGCGAUACCCGGUAUGACACUCCUCAGAAGAGGGGAUACACGUGGUAUUAGCGCACCGGUCAUCAUAUCCACAUCUACUCUUUUCACCAUGUUAAGGUAUUAAAGCGCGGAUUGGUAUCGACCUCUAUUGCAUGCUAUUACCCGUCCCAUUCCUAUCAAUCCCGGAGGAAUUUAGGACUACUAUUCCUAUAAGAGAGGAUUUUAGGCUGACUCUUGGGUUUUUAAAGGUAAAAAGACUAAGGCGACAUUCAAAACACGUAAGACUGCAUAUUAGGGGAACAUAUAAACAGCUAAGAGGCUCAUAUAUACCUCCUCAAGCAAAGCACAUAAAUAGCAUGACUUAAACACAUUCAGGGUCAGAAUUUAAAGUACUAAGACAGGGGAGUUUUAGUUGCUGAAGCAAACCAGUUUAUUACAUAACUCAGAUAAGAAGUCCGAAUCAGGCAUUCCUGCUGGUUGUAGCGGUUACUAAUUAACAAAGGUGGAUUCAAUUUUGUUGUUAUCACCUAAGGCUUGCCUGAGUGUUUAUUAGUGAUAUCCUAUAAGCAUGAUAUCUAUUACUAAUUAGGAAAUGCAGUAAAGUAGUGACAGUUUUAAACGAGCGAUUUGGAUCUUAUAGGCAUGCUUUCUAAACCGUAUUAAUAAAAAGAGUAGGUUAUUUAAACUGAUUCAGAACAACACGAGUCGAACUGGUUUUAAUUAAACUGGUUGACAUGAGUAUCAAAGACUGAUUUUGGUCCUAUAAUCAUGGUAUCUAGUUGAACGUGAAAUGAAGCAGACAGGAUUUACAGCAAAAUUCCUAUAGGCAUGAUUUCUAUAAAAAUACUGAUUUUAAUCUUAUAGACAUGACAUCUAAUUUCAAAGAUGAUUUUAACCUUACAGACAUGACGACUGAUUAUAACCAUUUAGAUCAUAUAGGCAUGGUGUCUAAGUGUGGUAAUAGAACAUGCAGAGUUCAUUAGACAAAUCAUAUAGGCAUGUUCUCUAUCUGCGUGAAAGUGGAGCAUGCAGAACUUGAAUUAAAACAGAACAGAUCCUAUAGACAUAUUCUCUACCCUUUUAAUAGCAAAAUAUGCAUAAUUACCCAUCCUUUUUUUACUAACCAACUCCAAUGUUUGUUACAAAUUAUUAUAGACCAAACACUGAAUUACAUCAGAAAAGUGUAAAGUAAGAAGUUACAACCAUAGGAAGCCUGAUUCUUGACUUCCUCUCUGAGUUAUGGAAUAAACCACCUCAAGAGCCACUUGUUUCAAAGCCUUUCUCAUAUCUGGGUGUGUCAAAGUUCCCUAAGGGUCUUAAGGGACCCCGGGUUUGCAUAACCAGACAGAAAUGAGUACAGUGUGGAAGGGUCAGCCCUUAUGUGUCCAAGUUCAGAGGGAGCUCAAUGGUCCCAAGGCAAGGCUCACACAAGAGGGGUAGAACCUAGGUUCUAAGAAUAUAGUGAAAGUGCAGAAUACAAAGAUUUAUUUAAAACUGGGUUGAGAAUAGUAAGGGGUAAGGGUGAUUUGAAAACAGUAGUAGUAAAUCUUAAACUACAUAGAAUCAACAGUUGCACAAAGGGGUCAAGGGUUUUGGGAAUACAUUGCAUGAAGCAUAUGACCCCAGUAAGAGUCAGGUUUGGACAUGCACAACAGUAGAUGAUGCUGGCAUGCCCACAAACCAGCCAGAGAACAUAAACACAAAGAGGGGAUGUGGGGUUUGGGGAUUCACACACAUAGGAAAGCAUUAAUUUAAAAGGGGAAGGGAACACAUUUUAACAUGCUAGUAAUGUAACUUGACUGCAGAAACAUAAGCAGAAAUAGACAAAUAUGAGAGAAGUUGGAACAAUUAUAGAAAACAUGUUGUUGUUGAUGCUUGAAAAUUAACUAGGACAUACCAGCAAGAAGCAAACCGCAGAAAGGAAAGGUAAGCAAAUUUUCACAGCCUAGCCUUGGCUUUUAGCCGGCUAGACAAAGCAGUAGCACAAGUAGCAAUAGAAAAAGAGAGGUUUUGAGUGAAGUGUGUGUUCUUGAACUCAAAUUGUUCGUGUCUUUGAAAGAAAAGAGGGUGGGUAUUUAUAGUUUUGAAAACAGGUAAAGAGUAAGGUAAUAAGUAAAGUCUUAACACAAACAUGGAAACAAUCACAAGUCAGAAUCAAUUAACCCAAGUGAUUCCCCUUUAAUUAAGGAAUCACUGUUUAACGGAUAGCAGCAGGUCUAAUUAAGGAAAGAAAAUCAGUUUGAGGACAGAUUGAUUAUUGCCAUAAAAGGGAUAGUAAAAACAUGAAGUAAACAAUCAAGUCUAAGUACAAAUAUAUGCUUAUUUUUGAAAAGAUUCAGUAAGGUAAAUAUCACAGCAAAGGAAAGGAAUCAAUUAAUUUUAAAGAGGCAAGUGAAAUUAGGGGUCAUAAAAGAAAAGCUUUUGCAAUCAGUCACAAGACCAAGAUCAAUCAAGGAAGAAACACGAUUCUGCACUUCAGUAUAUAAAUAGAGUGAACAGAAGCAUCAGACAUGCGAGGCCAAAUACAUUGGCAAAAGAAACAACAUACAAUAGUAGCAGAAAUAAGCUGGGAUUCAGUAGUAAGAAAGAUAUUCGAAGCAUAGUAGUCAAGUAUGUCAGGUAGUCACAUAGAAUUAACAGUGAAGAAAUCAUAGCAACAGGUAAAGAGAAUCGAAAACAAGUAAAGGUCUCACAUCAUCAAGUGAGGAAAACCUUUUAAGAAAUUAGGGUUUCAACAAUAGUCGAGUUAAAAAGAUAGUAAAACUCAGAAUCAGAUAGGUCACAUAAAAGAAAAGAGAGUCUGAAACAAUAAUUGAGUCAAGUAUACUUUUAAACAAGUAGUCUCAUACCAAAAGACCUAGAGUUUUCCACAAUAAUCGAGUUCAAAAGAUGGUAAAAUUCAAAAUCAAAUUAGUCAAACAAGAACGAAGAACUUAAUUGAGCAAGUACAUAUUCAAACAUGCAGUUUCAGAACUCGGAUGAGACAAAAAGAAACUAGGGUUUUAACAUGUUGACUCAAGUAGAAGGAAAGCAUAACAAGUAGUUUGAACAUAGUAAAACCAUAAAACAACAUCAAGAAUCAGAAAAGAGAUUUUUUUAAAAGGGAGGUUAAGAGAAACCCUAAUCGGAGAAAAUGAAGGGUCGUUUUGAAAGAAAAGUUGAAGAACUUUCUAGAAAACACUUAAAACAUUCAUAACAAGUACAGAUCUAAAGUAGUUCUGAAAGAAAAAUUCAAAGAUCUUAAAGAUUAGGGUUUCGUAAGACCCAGAAAAGGUGAGAAAAACCUUGAAAGUUACCGAUCUAACCAGGAGAGUCAAGGAUCUGACUCGAACGGCCAUGGCUGGACAGAGAAAGGUCAUGGAUGACCGGAAAAGGGCCAUGAACAGAAGUCGAGCAAGGACUGGACCACAUUCCCUCGAGGUCUGGCUAUGAAACCACAGAAACAAACACCCAGGAGCCAUAGGAGGCCACUAGACAUCUCCAAUGACCAUGAGAGGUCAUAAAUUAGGCAGGGUUUAGGGUAGAUUAGGGUGGGAUUAGAUGGCGGCAACUAGGGUUCUUGAGAGAUUUCAGAGAGAGUUGAGAGAGAAAGGGAAUUCAAAGGCGGCGGGUGUAGAGAAAUGAUUUAGGUUUAGGGGUCGUUCAGAGUUAAAAAAGGUAAGGGGGAACGGUGGCCGUUGAUCUAAAUGAUCAACAGCUAGGAUUAAAGGGGUUAGGUGGGGAAUCCGGGUUGGGUCGCUUAAAUUGGGUUAGGGGUCGGGUUUGAUUUGCAAUUGGGCUGGGAAAUUGGGUCUGAUUUGGGGC
rnacentral:lncRNA from 1 species